ACACUGCAGACGGCUCAGUAACACGUGGUCAAGCUAACCUAUGGACGCGGAUAACCUCGGGAAACUGAGAAUAAACCGCGAUAGAUCAUGGUGCCUGGAAUGGCCCAUGGUCCAAAUAGUUUACUGCCGUAGGAUGCGACUGCGGCCUAUCAGUUUGUUGGUGAGGUAAUGGCCCACCAAGACUAUUACAGGUACGGGCUCUGAGAGGAGAAGCCCGGAGAUGGGUACUGAGACACGGACCCAGGCCCUAUGGGGCGCAGCAGGCGAGAAACCUUAGCAAUGUGCGAAAGCACGACUGGGUUAGUCCGAGUGAUUCCUGCUAAAGGAAUCUUUUGCCGGUCCUAAAAGCACCGGUGAAUAAGGGGUGGGCAAGUCUGGUGUCAGCCGCCGCGGUAAUACCAGCACCUCGAGUAAUCAGGACGUUUAUUGGGCCUAAAGCAUCCGUAGCUGGCUUUGCAAGUCUCCGGUUAAAUCAACCUGCUCAACAGAUUGGCCGCUGGAGAUACUACAAAGCUAGGGAGUGGGAGAGGCGGACGGUACUCCGAGGGUAGGGGUAAAAUCCUUUGAUCCCCGGAAGACCACCAG
rnacentral:rRNA from 1 species